rnacentral:rRNA from 1 species
UACGUAGGGACCAAGCGUUGAUCGGAUUUACUGGGCGUAAAGGGCGCGUAGGCGGCUUGUCAAGUCACUUGUGAAAUCUCUGGGCUUAACCCAGAACGGCCAAGUGAAACUGACAUGCUAGAGUGCAGAAGGGGCAAUCGGAAUUCUUGGUGUAGCGGUGAAAUGCGUAGAUAUCAAGAGGAACACCUGAGGUGAAGACGGGUUGCUGGGCUGACACUGACGCUGAGGCGCGAAAGCCAGGGGAGCAAACGGG